UAAGCCCAAAUAUACCGAAGUGCACGAAAUUGUGCACUCUGCAAUCAGACCGCUUUAGAUUACCAAAAAUAACAAACAACCAUAUCACGAGCGCUCGCACCCUCGCAAGUUCACAAAAUGCUGGCUUUCCGGCAUUUCGGCUUUUCGACUUUUGCCGAUCUAGUCUAUGAGUAGGUGUUGUCACCUGUUUGCGACGAUAUGCUGACGAGUUCCACACACGAGUUGCCUACAGUCAAUCACUAAUAUGUUAACUAUGAAUCCAAUCGCAACUUAUAUACAUAAUCCCUUACCAAAAAAUCUGGCCAUUAACACCUUAGGCACUAGCAAUCCUACCUUUGCCAAAAUUAGCGACUAGGUUUAAAUCCAGUCGUUCCACUUGUCCAAGCCUUCAAUCAGCAAUCUCUAAAUCACACUAUUAUCAUAAUAAAAUAGUUGUCACAACCCUUAGAGCCACAGAGCCCAAAUCGAUAGCCUCCCUAAACCUUUAGGGGUUUCGGCUUUUCUAAAACCUGAAAUAAAGAAUAGGUUCAAAAACUUACCACCGGUUCCUUCGGUUAAUGAUUCUAGUUAUUCCUACUCGAUUCUGAUGCAGAUCUAACCCCACAAAAGUUAACAAAAAUCAAGCCUUUAGUGAUCUUAUGAAUUCGGCUAUGCCCCUUUGACUAUGUGUUUUCGGCUUUUUGUAACUGUGUAAAGAAAGAUGGAAUAUGGGAGUUUUGCUGUGGUCUUGUCGACAGAAAAUUGGGGUUCAGAGGAUUAGAGAAUUGGUCACAAAGAUGGAGGAG
rnacentral:lncRNA from 1 species